rnacentral:ncRNA from 1 species
UCCACUGCGAAGUGGAAUCUGAAGGAAGCCUUAGGCAAAAUGCUGGCCUGACGAACAGGAAGCGGAUGAGGCAGCACAGUGGGGUGAGACGGCACGGGACGUUAAAGCCCAAUACUUGCACAGAACACUGUGAUGUAGAUCCGACAGGCAUAAGCAGGAAAGUCACGCGU